rnacentral:rRNA from 1 species
GCCUACGGGACGCAGCAGUCGAGAAUCAUUCACAAUGGGGGAAACCCUGAUGGUGCGACGCCGCGUGGGGGAAUGAAGGUCUUCGGAUUGUAAACCCCUGUCAUGUGGGAGCAAAUUAAAAGGAUAGUGCCACAAGAGGAAGAGACGGCUAACUCUGUGCCAGCAGCCGCGGUAAUAUAGAGGCCUCAAGCGUUGUUCGGAAUCACUGGGCGUAAAGCGUGCGUAGGCUGUUUCGUAAGUCGUGUGUGAAAGGCGCGGGCUCAACCCGCGGCCGGCACAUGAUACUGCGCGACUAGAGGAAUGGG